GAUUUGGAAACAAGCUUCACACAGUUUACAACAAUCAUAUUGUUUUUUAUUAGUACCUGUAUCCCUGUGAUGAGAGUUGUAACUGGGAACUUUAUCAAUGGAAAUCUAAAACUGAAUAGAUUUUUCAGUCCAAACUUUCCAAAGAAAAAACUUUAAAAUCUUAGAGUACUGUCAAAAAAAAUGGAAAAUGGCCCUAGCCUGCAG
rnacentral:lncRNA from 1 species